UACGUAGGGUGCAAGCGUUGCUCGGAAUUACUGGGCGUAAAGCGUGCGCAGGCGGCUCUUUAAGUCAGAUGUGAAAGCCCCGGGCUUAACCUGGGAAUUGCGUUUGAAACUGGAGAGCUGGAGUGUGGAAGAGGGGGGUGGAAUUCCAGGUGUAGCAGUGAAAUGCGUAGAGAUCUGGAGGAACACCGAUGGCGAAGGCAGCCCCCUGGGCUAAUACUGACGCUCAUGCACGAAAGCGUGGGGAGCAAACAGG
rnacentral:rRNA from 1 species